GAUGAACGCUGGCGGCGUGCCUAAUACAUGCAAGUCGAGCGAACAGACGAGGAGCUUGCUCCUCUGACGUUAGCGGCGGACGGGUGAGUAACACGUGGAUAAACUACCUAUAAGACUGGGAUAACUUCGGGAAACCGGAGCUAAUACCGGAUAAUAUAUUGAACCGCAUGGUUCACUAGUGAAAGACGGUUUUGCUGUCACUUAUAGAUGGAUCCGCGCCGCAUUAGCUAGUUGGUAAGGUAACGGCUUACCAAGGCAACGAUGCGUAGACGACCUGAGAGGGUGAUCGGCCACACGGGAACUGAGACACGGUCCAGACUCCUACGGGAGGCAGCAGUAGGGAAUCUUCCGCGAUGGGCGAAAGCUUGACGGAGCAACGCCGCGUGAGUGAUGAAGGUCUUCGGAUCGGAAAACUCUGUUAGUAGGGAAGAACAAAUGUGUAAGUAACUAUGCACGUCUUGACGGUACCUAAUCAGAAAGCCACGGCUAACUACGUG
rnacentral:rRNA from 1 species